GAAAAAGAAAGAAAAGGGAGAAAAGAGAAGGACGAAAAGACUGAAAGAAAGAAAGGGGAAAAAAGAAAAAGGAAGAAAAAGAGGCAGGGAGGCUGCUCCCCCCGCAGCCCGAUGGUGGGAUGCGUGUGGUUGUGCGGGGGGUGCAGUGCAGGGAGGGAGGGGCAGGUUCUGUCUGCAGGAAGCCCCCUGCCCACAUGGAAGGAGCUGUGAAGAGGAAUCGUGGCAUCAGAAAGCGUUGCCUUGUUCCCACUUCAUUUCCUAGUACCAGAUAAUUGCUUUUUCAACUCAAUUGAGACUCGGUUUGUGUUAUUGCUGUUACCGCUCCUCUGCGAGCUUCUGUGUCUGUCUCACACACCCGUGUCUCUUGUUAGUCUCGUGCUCGCUCUCUGGACGGGGUUGAUAACAAAUGAUGUUCUGUCUAAGUUCAGUAACAGCAUCCAGAAAGCGCACGGCGAGGAGGUGGCGGUGGCGACAGGAGGGAAUUGCCAUGUUCCUGGGCUCUCCCUGUGCUCCAUCAGCUGUGGAGCCCUAUAGGCCAUGCAGCCGGGCCCUUCUCCUUCACCAGAAUGAUGUUACUGCUCUCAGGCUUGAAGCAGAGCGCCGGUUGCUGUUACUUCUGGGUUGCAGCACUGGAGAAAAGGUGCAGUUUUCUUCAGGUUCAUCUCUGAUGAGGGAGGAAGAAACUUGUUCUACUGCCUUUAACUUAUUUUGGUGGGGUCUUGCGAGAUUCCUAGUGGCAGUGCUCACUGCAUCGGGAUAGUUAGAGUGAGACAUCCCUUCUGCUUGACAUUGUGUCACAUCAGAGCGUUUUUGGGCAGUGUGGCUGUGAGGCACACAGAUUAACCAAGAAAGCCGCUCACAGCUGAAUUAAAUGCUGGCUUCUCUCACAGGACUUUGGUGCAAUGCUUUUUUUUUUUUCUCCCGCUCCUGGAUUAAUGUAAUUAAAUGACAACCUCAGCUCUUGUGAGAAAUAAAAAAUACCGUUUCUAUACAUCACGAUGCUGGAGGGACACUUUAAAAAGUGAUUUGACGUUCCCCUUAAAUGUGCAGCGACCAACAGAGAAAUAAAAUGAAACCCACAUUUGUUAUUAGGAAAAAUCUUGAAACUUUUAGCCGUGCUUGUCAUUUUUAAAACUGACUUAUGAUUUAGAUGAGACGUUAAGAACAGCUUUUUAAUGGAAAGAUGGGAAGCGCGAGAAUAGAUUGCCUGGAGUGGCAGUGGGAGGAUUUGUAAAGUGGUCGGACAAAUGUCUGCCAGAACGUGGCAGCUGCAGCCCACCCAGCCCCAUGCAGAGGACACACCAGGACCCCUCUGUGCCCCUAUGGACAGGGGCUGUCACACCUGGGAUUGCUCCCUGUCCAGUGCUGCCUUUCCGCUUGACUUCUCUGUGCUUACUUUUUGGGCAUAAGCAGCUCCUCUGGGCAGCCAGGAGCAAGGCAGGGGGUCACCUUCUCUGCACACGUUAUACAUGAAUAAACACCUUCCUAGGAUUACUUAACCCAAGUCCGCUGUGUGCCUGUUUCCCUGCUGACACACCAUUAGCAUCUGAAGCAUCUAUAUUUCCCGAAUUGCACAGAGAUAACUUAUCGCUCCAGCUGCUUAUCUCAGACCUGCCCCGUGGAUCCAGGGGAAAGAUUUCCCCUUUAGCACUAACAACGGGUGCCUGAUGCUUACUUUGAAAUGUCCCUCCUCCUUUAGAAAAGGAGUGGUGGGAUUCUUGCCCGGCACAUUUUGCAUCUCUCUCUCCAUCUCUGUGCCCAUCCAGCCGGGUUUAUCACUGUCAGAGCACUGGCCCAGGCCUUGCUGGCAGUGCAAGCUGUUCCAUGAAAGAUUUGCCCUUGAAAGUUUGGGAUGUGUCAGGAGUGUGUCCAUAUUUAAUGCAGGCGUGCGGCUGAGGCAGUGGGCUGGGUGGGGUCAGCUGUGUGCUCAGGAAACUCUUCUGGAAACUGCUGGAUGUGGAGUAGAGGAAGGACUGUCUGUCUCAUCGCCUUUUUGUGCCUCUUUUUUCUCUCAGCGGCUCCUCUGGCUUACAGGCCAGCACUUGUUAUGUUCUGCAGAGGUUCACAUUCUGCAGAAAAGUCAGCAGGCAAAAGAACCCAUAACAGUUAGCAUGACAGCAGGAGGUAUGAAUGGGAUGGUUGCACACAGCAGGUGUCUGUCCACAGUCCCCUGCCACCAAGGGCAGUUUGGUGCUGGCAACAUCCAAGGGCAGCCAGACAAAGCCUCAUUUCAUGAGCAGGGUAUAGAAAAAACUCUCCCCACUUGCUCUCUCCUGCCUUAGGUCAUUUUGCUUCAAAUGAGGGCAUGGGGAGUGAGGUUAAAGUGCAAAGGCUGGCCAGGAUGUCUGACCUGUCUGGAAUAGUGUUCCUUGCAGCUCUAAGCCAGCAGUAUGUAGUUACCUGCAGCUCCCCACUGCUGAGCUGCAGUAACACAAGAUGAAAGGCAGCUUCAGGUUGUGCCAGGGGAGGUUCGAUUUGGAUAACUGGAAUAAUUUCUUCUCAUGGAGAGUGGUGAGGCACUGGCAUGGGCUGCACAGGGAGGUAGUAGUCACCAUCCCUGGAGGUGUUCAAAAAGUGUGUGGAUGUGGCACUGAGAGGUAUGGCUAGUGGGCAUGGUGGGGGUGGGCUGGUGCACUAGGAGAUCUUAGAGGUGUUUUCCAACAGGAAUGAUUCUGCCUUUCUGUGAACACUAGGUGUCCCACUGCAGGUGCCACCAAGUGCCAUCUUUCCACAGGGCCCCCAGACCGCUUGUGUCUGUGCACAUGCACUUGGACCAUGAUGCUCACCCAGUCUUAAAGGGUGAUCAGACACAAGCAGUGCUUCUGGGAGCUGCUGGCUUAGCCAUCAUCCCUGUGGUUGUGCGAGCCCUCAGGGUUGGCUGGCUUGUCUGGGGCUUACUUGGGGUACCUUCCUGCUUAGGAGCGCCGCAGCUUUCUUACCACAGUUUCAGCUAAGAAAAUAGACAAGUUUCAACAGAGGAGGAAGAGCAAGGUAAAAAGCAGAACAUUACUCUUGCCAUCCUGAGCACCAAUAUUUCUAAAUCACAUGCUUCGUCAUGUCAUGAAACCUUAUCAGAAGCUGCACAUAACUAACCACGGAAUCUAGAUUCACUGGCUUGAAUUUUAUUGUAAGAGAUACCAGGAGCAUGAAAGACACCCUGUUGCUAUCACCUACAGAUAAAUUCCUUGAUGUUUUUCAUCAUGAGAUUCUGCUUCCUCUUGCUUAUGUAGCUUCGCCAUCUGUCUCGAUUUGACUGUUUCAGUGCUCGAUGUUUUCAGCCAGAGCAAGAUCCAGGAGACAAGUGAAAAUAUAAGCAACCCAUCUUUCAUUUCAGAGCAGAAGUUCUUAAAGUUUGCAGAGUUGCAAAGUUUGCAAGGGAAGACUUGAUGAUACAGUGGGAAAGCUAAACCACCUCAAAAGGCAAAUGCAGGCACCCGCUUUUACUGUUAUUGGAAAAAUCCUGGUUUUACAGCUAAUCUGUGAGCCUUUUUGUGCAUGGCUUGAUUUGUAGUUUCUUAAUGAUUGGUACUGGCAGCGUUGUUUAUAGCCCUGCCAGACUUUUAACAAUGAAACAUUUCCCCCCCCCCUCCCCCCUCUCCCCCUCCAUCUAGUCUCUGUCUCAAAGCAAACUAUCCUGGAAGUACUCAAUUUGGUGCCUCAGUCAUUUCAGCGAAUGAAAUUAAGGGAAAAUGAUAUAUGUGAACAUCCUCAAAAUUGCAGUUAUUUCUUUGGGAAGAUCUAGCACAGCACGCUCUCAAACUGAAACUCGGAAUUUUGAAGGGCAGGGAAAUGCCUUAAGCCAGAUUCUAAUGUUUCUGAAAAUGUUUGGGAACAGACAGAUGCUGCUUUAGUCUUUGCUACACACAGUCCCUGCAGACCCCGUACGAAAUUACUGUGCUUCAGCCUCUCCCUUCAUCUGAUCACAGCCAGAUCAUGGAUGGAGAAGAGACCCCAGUCCAGUGGAUUAGGUAAGGAUUUCCCUGCAAUCUCUCUUUGUGCUUACUUUGUAUUUCUGUGUUUCUGGGGAAGGGAACUGCCAGUAGGGAUCUCUCUCUUGUGGUUUAUGUACCAUUUUUAUGGGAUGGUGCUGGGAUACAGAGAAGGGGAGAGUACCAGAAAAAUGCGGAAAGAUGGAGAAAGGUUUCAGAUGGGGGAAAAGAGGAGAAAGGAAGAAGUAGGCUAGGGACUGGAUGAGCCUAUGAGGACAAGAAGAGCAUUGGAGGCUGAAGUAUGAGGCUGGAAGGGGACAGAGGGAGGCCAAGUACUCAUGGCUCGCUGCAGGACCCAGGACAGGACCCAUGAGUGUCCCUUUCACCAGUGAUGUUCUGAUCUGUAACAGCACACCCACCAGCCUUGCCUAUGCUCCCGUACACCUCUAGAAGCACUACAUAAAGUAUACCAGCCUACUACUGCCACUAGGUGCCAUUAGUUCAAGCAAAUAGUGCCACAGAGCUAAUUGUGAGUGAAGGACAUGUUUCUUCAUAAACUUCUCCUCCAGAAUUUCAUCUGUCUGUGAGGUAAGGAGGUUCAAUAAUUGAGCCUUCAAAAGUUACACCAUGCCAUAAUUAAAUUUCUCGUCCAGAUCAAAUUUGCUGAUAUCACAUAGCUAGCCCCAGCUGACCACUGCUGGGCAUCCAAAUUGGAGCGAUCACUCAUGGAAAGUUUGAUUAAGUGACCAGAUGUUUUUUUAAAAAGGUUUUAUUUGCACAUGGCAACAAGAAAUAACAACCAUGUGUUUUCAUCCCAAAGUCUCCCUCAUAACGUGUGUAAGAUUUGUGAUUCAUUGUUGAAUGUCAUCACGCCUCCCCAGCUUAGGAAAUCUGAUCUGUCACUUGCCAGUGCAGAAUCUCAUUGCAGCCAUCAAUUUAUUUAUUUAUUUAUGUAUUUCUUUAUUUUUGGCUGGGAGUGAAACGAACCAUCACCUUUGUGCUUCUUCAUAGGUGAGAAUGCAGAACAGCUCUAUGCAAUGCAGUGUUGAGUUCUCCUCGCUGGAUCCUUCCAGACUUCCAGACGGCUCCAGAUGAGCCGUGGGUACCAGUCCAUGUUAUGUUGCUCUCUGUCAAGCCUCUGAGACACAAGGAUGCCAGAAACCUGGAGAAACUUCCAAUAGCCCAUCAAGCCCAUGGGCGCAAAGCAGAUCUGAGUGUUCUAACUCCCCUUUCUGUCAAGCUCUAAGAUGGCAAUCUGAGGUGGUCAGAGUGAGCAUAGCUCUUGGGAACAAAGUCUUUUUUUCCCCCUUGCCGUAUGUGCUUAAUAAUUUCCAGUGAGGACACAGCAAAGGCAAAAGUCUUGGUUGUACACUGAAUAUUGAUCAGACUGUUCUGCACCUACUAAUUCUUAAGCAGAGAUGAGCCGUUUCUGUACGGGGGAAAAUUAGGUAGGUUGGUUCAUUCACAUUUAAAACAUAAUCUUACAGAAGUGCAUUCUCCCCACUACCUACAGCUCCCCUACCUCCAUCCUUACACGACACAACCUGAGCUCCUGCAGUACCUGCAGAACACGCUGCAAUCUGCUCAACUGUAAUAGAGAGCAUUUCUGAAAUUAAUUAUCUAGAAACAAAUUUCAGAUGACUGUUCCACAUAAGACAGAGGAAAAGAAUUAUUGUGGAGGAAUGACAAAUUUUGUAAGCAUUCCCAUUGUGCUCUGUGAUGCAGCCUCCACAUCCUCCCCCACUCCCCUGUGCAAAUGAAGAUGUAAUAGAAACGAAAGCGAUGCUCCUCACAAGAUGUAGGUACGUGCCUCAUUUCCAGCAGGUGCACAGCGCCGGCCGUCUGAUAUGCCCUGCAUUCAGCAUGCCUGCAAAUUUUUGCUGUAUCAAGACCUACGGGCGUGCUGUGCUGAACCUUCUGAGCUGUGAAUGUGAGUGUAGGACCCAGACCCUCAGGGCUGCCUGGCCCUGCAGAGCUGCCACCCAGCUCUGAUUUCUCUCGCAUGCUAGAAGAGCUCUCGUUCCCCUCCAGUGAUUCUUCAGUAUGCUGGCUGCGAUUGGGCGUUGUAAAAAGCUAAAUAGUAAGUCAGUGUUCAACAUAACAUUUUAACUGUUCCCGAUGUUCAUUUAUUUUUUCCUUUGAGUAAAAAGAGACCCUUGUAAAAGUAAAUACAGUUUGCUUUAAAGUGUCUAUGCAGGCAAAUCGAGUUUACUGUCUUUCGCCCUGAUGUCGUAUACAUCAGUGAGGGUGGGGAUGGUUUGAACGAGUCUUAAGAAAAAAAAGAAGAAGAAAUGACAAGAAAAGACAAAUUGAAAGCUGUUUGCUGACAGGUGUAGAUGGGCUGGGAUAACAAGGAUUAUAUUCCAAAAUCUAAUAUGAAGAUGGUUUAUAUCUAUCCCUUGCCAAAAUUAAAAGAAGGAAAUCUGAUCGGCAGGGUAGGCAGCUGACUUUGACCCAAAGAAAGACUUAUGGAAUGAAAUGCCAUUUGCAUCCUUUCCCUUUUCUGCCAUCUCAAAGUGGUAAUGAAUAGUGCAAUAGAAAAGAAGUGGCAGCGGAAUGGCUCAUUUAAAAACUUUUUUACAUUAAUCUCAUUUCAAAAGGAAUAAAGUAAGAAACUGAAGGUAAACAGUUGUGUUUAAUAUAUAAAAAGCAUAUGAAAUGAGCCUUAAGAUUUAUGUUUUUAUGUAUAUGUGUUUAUUCCUCUUUGAUGACUGUAAAAUACAUAAGAAUGAAAAAGAGACCUUCAUUUUUUUCCCCAAGCAUUUUAUAUGCAUCUCUUUUUCUAAGGCUUCCUGGUGCCAGAAAUCACUUGCAAUAUACAUGAUACAGGGCUUUGCUGCGAUACACAAUUUUACUAAAUAACAGAGUAAAUAGAAGACUGUAUGUGCAGUAAAUGGGACCGAAGCAUUAUGUAGUGUAGGAAAAAUCAAACAGCCUGUCUACCUCUGGCUGUGGCAUUUGCCUUCUGUAAUAAAAUGCUCAAUUAUUUUGCUGUUGGCCUCACAGGCCACCCAGAAGCGGGGGACAUUCAGGCUGACUGACCACAACCACCUCUGUCCCUGGGGCCAUUUCUAAAGCAGUAUCACCAGCUGGAGACAGGCAUGCGCAGCCAGGCUGCAUCUCGCAGGCUGAGCCAGCGCUGGGAAGAAGCCGAGCUCUGGACAUACACAUAGGAAGUCCUACCCUCAGUGAUGGCCCCGGGAUUAUUGCUGCUGACCUCAAGGCUUCUCCUCCUGACCAGAGAAGUCGAUACUUAAAACUGAAACCUUUGGAUAAAUUUUUGAAUAAAGCUUACCACGUCCACAGCUACGUGCUAAUACAUCCAUCUGCUUGCUGUGCUUCUGUUCAUAUGCAAAAUGAUGGAAAAAGCGCAUUCUUAAGGACACUUGCAGGCUGUACAAUGCCGUGCUGAAGCUUUUAUUACAUCGAUUCAACUACUUUCCAUAGGUUAUGCAAAGUAAUCUUUCCAUAUCUCACUGAAUUUGCAUCCUGGGAGUGAUUGAUACUCUGUGCGAUGGGGCUGACUUCACUUUCCCACCACACAGGUGUGUGAUGAAUCCCAGUUUGAGGUGUGCUAUUAUUUACUGCCAAGGUUAUUUCAUAAAUUCAGUUUCACACUUCUAAUUCAGGCUUGCAUGCUUUCGGAGAGGAGGGCUCUGUUAUUAAGUCAUCAUUUCUGGAGAAAACUAAGCCAAACUAAAAGGCACCAGUAAUAGAUUGGUUUUAUUCCACUCCAUAAAUGUGUGAAGUAUUGUUUUAUUGUACAUUAAAAGUGUGAUUAUGUGUUAUGGUGUCUUUGGAUCAUGCCAAUGGAUGAGCGCCACUUUUCAUUGCUAGCUUUAAUCUGGGUGUAGAUCACUUUUAGUUUUCUAGAAGAUUUGUUGGCAGGAAUGCGAAAACAUUUAAACCCCCAAAUUAGAAAGGUGGAAAAAAACCUCUAAAACUGCCCGACAGUUUAGUGUUAAUUUUCAGAAUGUCUGAAUAUUGGCAUAUAGAUAUCACUUGCCAGCACUUCUAUUCAGCAACUCUUUUCCUUUCUAGCAGCCAGGAAAUGAUGAGGCUUCCUAGAGAAGACAUGCUGUUACUGCUGGCUAUUCAGUAGCAGCCACUUGAUCCCUCGUUUUUGCUUUACAACAGGAAAAGUUUUUGCUGUUGGUUGGGGAGUGGUAGAAGCUGGUCAAGAAUAUGUGCCUGCCUAGCCACUGCAAAGCAGGAAAGCAAGGCAGAAAUGCUAGAAGCAGGAGAGAUAUCUGGUUUUCUUCUAGCCUAGAAGGUUAGAAGGGAUGAUAACACUAUUGUUGGGUUAAACAGCUCUUUUUUGCACGUUAUUCCUCAGCUCAGCAUGGAAUAGCCUGCCUACUUAUUUGCUCUUGAUUGAUCUAGAGUCUUUCAGACAGAUGAA